ACCGCCGAUGAAAUUAGCAGUUAAUAUACGCGUGUACACACGGAAUGGGGGUAGUUUGAUUGGGCCAAUUCGAGGCAAUUCCUGGCGAUUGCUGGUUUCAUUGAGCCUGCGCUUAAGAGCUCAGUGCCACGCUGCCGGUCAACGGACAUGGAUCUCUUGGAAAGUAUAGGUACUCUUACCUUUCUCGUCCUUCCGAUCGAUCAUCUUCUCAUAAAUCGAUCGAUCGAUUCUAAUCCGUUUCUAACCUCUCAAUCCAAGUAUAUACCGGAUACAACUGAUACGAGGACGAAUCGAAACGGUGUGGAUGUAAAAUUGCGGGACAAUUCGAAUCAUUGAUAGUGCAUGGGACGCAAAUCGAUGGGAGGAUCGUGCAUUCGGUAGACAGAGGAUCGGUGACGCGAUGUACGCAAGUCGAUCGUCGCCGAGUGCGCUCUGUGAUCUCUCAAACCGUUUGAUCGAGGUUCAAGGUUCCGGUUCAAGGACUUCUGCGAACAGAGACACGAGAUGGAUAGCUGAUAUGUUCGAUGUGACUGAGGCUAGGGUGGAAACUAAGUGGAAUUUAUGGGAGUUGGGUUAGGUGGUACUUACUCGAUGAUGUGUGAUGUUCAAGAACAUGAAUUUCAUAGAAGAUACAGCGAUUUUAGGAAAUGGAAAUACGUGGACAGAAAUUCAGCGCGCAUCCAGCAUUCUCUUCACCAUGAUCUCCGUUCCAAGAAACAUCGAGGUCGCAGCGGGUCAAGCGCAGGUCGUCCAUAUUCGAAGUGGAAUCGUGAUGUACACGAUUUUCUCAUCGCGGUGGACCGUGCACAAGCCAACCCGCUCCGAUUCCCACAUGCCCCUCCAAGCUCCUCUGCAACAUCACCUAACACACAUCGUAAUAUCGAGGCGGCGUUCUCCAACUUGUUCGCCGGGGGGCGGUCGCAAUGGCGUGGCAGUGGCCACGAGACCAAAGAGAGACUCUCGGACCCUAACUUCAGACAGAGGAAACGUAAACGACAAAGAUGCAACGCACAUAUACCUCUAUAUACGUUCAGCCAAUACCAUGACGAACCAUUUUAUUUGGAGUGGUGGAGUGGUACCAGGCCAGAGAAAAGGCAAGAAAGCGAAAAAAGAAAAAGAAAGAAUCAAAGAGAUGAAAGAGCACAUACAGAGAGAGAGAGAGAGAGAGAGAGAGAGAGAGAGAGAGAGAGAGGGGGUGGGAGGGGGAAGUGACUCUUCUGUACAUGGGGGAUUAAAAAGAGAGACAGACGGAUGACUCUGGUGCAGAAUGGAAAGGGAGAAAAAGAGAAAGAAAGAGGAAGAAAUACAGGAGAACGGUAUAUACCGCGCCCGCAUAAAACGGCCGUCCUCUCGUGGAGCACGUAACGCGUAGUAGGUGCUACAGGAUUGGUUGGUUUCUAUGUGUGGGGGCGGCCUGGCCAGCAACCCGUUGAAAAUAUAAGCGUGUGUGAGUGUCGGUUGAUUAGCCAGAGUCAGAACGGAUCGUCGCUUAGUGCGACAGUGUCCGGUUAGUUAGGCGGCUCUUGUUGUUUCGCGCGAUCAACUCACCCGGUUGUCGAUAUAUAGAAAAUACAGCAAAAAUCCGUUCAGUCGCAAGAGAAACAAUAUACGUAAACAUUUGGAAAAUCAUUCGCCCUCUAUUUCUUUUGUUUUCUUCUUUUUUAUUGCUGCUCCUAUUUUGGAAAUGUUUUCAAAUUAACAUUUGAGCAUAGUUCCUCCGGUUCUCGAAAGUAUAAUUCGGAUCGACUGGUUCAAUCUGUUCGUGUGCCGACGACACGAUGCUUGGCUCUCGCUUCGUUAGCUUGUACUAAUCAAAAUUAAUCAUAACCCGGGCAACAAUUGAUCGCAAUUGGCUCGGAUUCCAUUACGGAGGACGCGCGAACGCCGCGACCGCCAUCCUGCGCACCGCGCACGCCUUUUUGCAUAAUUGGCCAACCGGAGGUCUUCACGAAGAACCCGAGGAAUCGGCGGUAAUAAAGGGAGCAGGAAGUGAAUGGGACACAGUUGUCUAGGGUAUUUUAAACCCUGGCUGGAUCAUAGAUCGACGAAUUUUCAUUUGUUACUACCGAGAAGAGAAGAAGAUAAAGAACAAAGUUGAAGAAACAUCGAGGAAGAGGAAACUCUCAUAUACUUUGUAUCGGAAAUCCAAGCGAGGCAUUCAAUAUUUAUUUACUAAUAGAAAGAAAUGGUUCCUGUCGAGUUGCUCUAAUUUUAAGCCUGUGAAGAUUGAAGAAGAGAGAUAAUUGAAGUCAAAAAA